rnacentral:lncRNA from 1 species
GGACCACCAAGGGUGUAAUGACACAGGCACCACGAGUCAGGGUGGCUACAGCCACUCUACCCACCACGCGCUGGGUCAGCAAGGCCCCAGAGCGCAGAGGCUGACAGAUAGCCACACAGCGGUCCACAGCCAUGGCCAGCAGUACAGAGGACUCAGCAAUGAAGGCCACAUGGGCAACAAACAGCUGGGCUAGACAGGAUCCAAAGGAGAUCUCGCUCGACAAGCCCCACAGUACCGCCAGAGUUUUGGCACCGUGGCUGUGGCCAGAAUCAGAGCGAACUUGGCUCCUCAGCAACAUCCUCCACGGAGUGGCAUAGACUCAGUCCUCCCUAAAAGACCUGAGGAACAAGGUAUCCAUCCCCUCUCAGUCUGAGUAAACCAGCAAGGAACAUAAUAAGCGC